rnacentral:lncRNA from 1 species
UUUGGUAUACAUUACAGGAACAUCUGUGUUGUGUAUUGACGAAUAUGAUUGUCAAGAAUUUUGUCCUCCUCAUUUAGACCAUAUUUGUAUUAAUCUUCAAUGUUUCUGUAUGGAAUAAUUAUAAUCUAACUAUUUCUAAGCCUAUAGUUUUAUAUAUACAUCAUAUAAUAUUGUCGCUCUUAUGAUUAAUUUCACAUAUUAAUUUUUUUUUUUUAAAAAAAGGCC